rnacentral:rRNA from 1 species
UACGUAGGGUGCGAGCGUUGUCCGGAAUUAUUGGGCGUAAAGAGCUCGUAGGCGGUGUGUCGCGUCGGCCGUGAAAACCUGCAGCUUAACUGUGGGCUUGCGGUCGAUACGGGCAUCACUGGAGUUCGGCAGGGGAGACUGGAAUUCCUGGUGUAGCGGUGAAAUGCGCAGACAUCAGGAGGAACACCGGUGGCGAAGGCGGUUCUCUGGGCAUUACCUGACGCUGAGGAGCGAAAGUGUGGGGAGCGAACAGG